rnacentral:rRNA from 1 species
GAGAGUUUGAUCCUGGCUCAGAUUGAACGCUGGCGGCAGGCCUAACACAUGCAAGUCGAGCGGUAGAGAGAAGCUUGCUUCUCUUGAGAGCGGCGAACGGGUGAGUAAUGCCUAGGAAUCUGCCUGGUAGUGGGGGAUAACGUUCGGAAACGGACGCUAAUACCGCAUACGUCCUACGGGAGAAAGCAGGGGACCUUCGGGCCUUGCGCUAUCAGAUGAGCCUAGGUCGGAUUAGCUAGUUGGUGGGGUAAUGGCUCACCAAGGCGACGAUCCGUAACUGGUCUGAGAGGAUGAUCAGUCACACUGGAACUGAGACACGGUCCAGACUCCUACGGGAGGCAGCAGUGGGGAAUAUUGGACAAUGGGCGAAAGCCUGAUCCAGCCAUGCCGCGUGUGUGAAGAAGGUCUUCGGAUUGUAAAGCACUUUAAGUUGGGAGGAAGGGCAGUAAAUUAAUACUUUGCUGUUUUGACGUUACCGACAGAAUAAGCACCGGCUAACUCUGUGCCAGCAGCCGCGGUAAUACAGAGGGUGCAAGCGUUAAUCGGAAUUACUGGGCGUAAAGCGCGCGUAGGUGGUUAGUUAAGUUGGAUGUGAAAUCCCCGGGCUCAACCUGGGAACUGCAUUCAAAACUGACUGACUAGAGUAUGGUAGAGGGUGGUGGAAUUUCCUGUGUAGCGGUGAAAUGCGUAGAUAUAGGAAGGAACACCAGUGGCGAAGGCGACCACCUGGACUGAUACUGACACUGAGGUGCGAAAGCGUGGGGAGCAAACAGGAUUAGAUACCCUGGUAGUCCACGCCGUAAACGAUGUCAACUAGCCGUUGGGAGCCUUGAGCUCUUAGUGGCGCAGCUAACGCAUUAAGUUGACCGCCUGGGGAGUACGGCCGCAAGGUUAAAACUCAAAUGAAUUGACGGGGGCCCGCACAAGCGGUGGAGCAUGUGGCUUAAUUCGAAGCACCGCGAAGAACCUUACCAGGCCUUGACAUCC